rnacentral:rRNA from 1 species
GACGAACCGAGCGAACGUUGUUCGGAAUCACUGGGCGUAAAGGGCGCGUAGGUGGCAGCUCAAGUCAACGGUGAAAGCUCGACGCUCAACGUCGAGUCGGCCGUCGAUACUGGGGUGCUGGAGCACUGUAGAGGCAGAUGGAAUUCCGGGUGUAGCGGUGGAAUGCGUAGAGAUCCGGAGGAACCCCAGAGGCGAAGGCGGCAGCCUGGUUGGCUCCUGACGCUCGGACACGACAGCAUGGGGAGCGAACGGG